rnacentral:misc_RNA from 1 species
GAUGAAGAACGUAGCGAAAUGCGAUAAGUAGUGUGAAUUGCAGAAUUCAGUGAAUCAUCGAAUCUUUGAACGCACAUUGCGCCCUUUGGUAUUCCUUAGGGCAUGCCUGUUCGAGCGUCAUUUAAACCUUCAAGCCCUGCUUGGUGUUGGGCGUCUUGUCUCUAGCUUUGCUGGAGACUCGCCUUAAAGUAAUUGGCAGCCGGCCUACUGGUUUCGGAGCGCAGCACAAGUCGCACUCUCUAUCAGCAAAGGUCUAGCAUCCAUUAAGCCUUUUUUUCAACUUUUGACCUCGGAUCAGGUAGGGAUACCCGCUGAACUUAAGCAUAUCAAUAAGCGGAGGA